UGUCACGUCUAACGACUAAAACUUCUCGGGUAUUUGGUAAAUCAUCUCCAACUAAAACUAAAACUACAACUCCAGUAUCAGACAAUAAUAAUUUAAGGGUUAAAAUUUGGAAUUCAGACACGAUGCAAUUUGAAAUUUCAAUUGCGGAUGGAAUUGCUGCCUCUGCAACAUCUAAUUGUCAUCAAACAGUAACAACUAUAUUAAAACAAACCCCAUUAAAGAGGUCUGAUUGCUAUGAAACGGAAAAUAUAUCACCGGCUAUUACGAUCCAUCAGCCGAUUUUUUACACAAUGCCAUCAGAUAGCAUGGAUGAUAUCGAGCUGAAAAAUAUCCAACUCCAGUUUCCUGCGUUGAGAUACCUGAGCAAAGAUGAUGGCUCUGUUAGAGAGGAGAGAGUUGAAACGGACAAAGGAAUUUUGGUGGUCGCUGUUCAAGGCAAUCGCGCUAAACCUGCCAUCCUAACUUAUCAUGACCUAGGCCUUAAUUACAUUUCGAGCUUCCAGGCAUUCUUUAAUUACAUUGAUAUGAGAGUAUUGCUCGAAAACUUUUGUGUUUACCACGUAAAUGCACCCGGUCAAGAGGAGGGAGCACCAACAUUACCUUUCGACUACGUUUAUCCGACGAUGGACGAGUUAGCACAACAGCUGCUAUUUGUGCUGGGGCACUUUGGCCUGAAAUCGGUUAUCGGUUUCGGCGUGGGUGCCGGGGCCAAUAUCCUCGCGCGGUUCGCUUUGGCUCAUCCCAGCAAAGUUAAUGCGUUAUGUUUGAUAAAUUGCAUCUCAACGCAAGCCGGGUGGAUCGAGUGGGGAUAUCAGAAACUUAACGUUCGUCAUCUAAGGUCACAGGGUAUGACUCAAGGUGUUCUGGAUUAUCUUAUGUGGCAUCACUUCGGCCGAGGAACCGAAGAAAGAAAUCACGAUUUGGCUCAAGUUUACACCAACUACUUCGAACGGAAAGUAAACCCAACGAAUCUCGCAUUAUUUAUCGACAGCUAUGUAAGACGUACUGACUUAAAUAUCAACCGCGAACUAGACCCGACACGCAAAAAGGACGUCCCGACAUUAAAAGUCCCUAUUAUUAAUAUCACCGGAGCUUUGAGUCCUCACGUUGAUGAUACUGUUACGCUUAAUGGCCGAUUGGAUCCAACUAAUAGUACAUGGAUGAAAAUAUCAGACUGUGGCAUGGUCCUUGAAGAACAACCGGGAAAAGUAAGCGAAGCCUUUCGACUAUUUCUCCAAGGUGAAGGAUACGUGGUGAAAAGCUCGCGGAAGCCGUUGACGCCUACAACAUCCGAAGGUAAUUGUAAUUAGGAAUUGAAGCAGCAAGGAACCGAUCAUUGCCGUUGGCCAAUUUCUUGGCCAUUUCUAAUUGUUGAUGGCUCCACUGUCACCAUUAAAAAUGGCCGAUUAUCGCUUAGCGUCAUUAGAAGGACUUAAUCAUUUUUGUUCGAAAAAAUUUGAUUGGCCGACCGCCACUAUCCACAUUACAGAGAAUCCCAUAUCAGAAGCUGUCGUUUGCUAAAUUAUAAAUGUAAAGCGUUUAUUAUCUUUAUAAGUAAC
rnacentral:misc_RNA from 1 species